AAUUAAGUUGCUGAGAAUUUGCCCAGCGUUCCUCGAGAAAAAAUGACCGGCCAUUGUAAUUUGCUAAAAACGAUAGCCACACAUUUAAGUCUUGUUUUGUCUCGCGAUUAAGCCUGAUAAGGUAAUGAGAUAAACGGAUGCCGUGGGUGAGAUCAAUUAAGCGACGCAAGAAUGCCCUGCCGGGAAUGAUGACAGAACAUGCAAAAUUUAAAAGGCCAAUUAAAGAUUGAAUUUCCCUUAAGGUAAUCUUCUUACGCUUUUGAAAAUCAGAAAUAAGGU